ACUUACUGGACAACCCUAUAUAAGCGGUGCGGUUGACUGGAUUUCAGUCAAACUCUUCGGGACAUACCUCCGGCAUUCAUCCUGCUUUCCUCCAAACUCUGGGAGAUUCUGCCUUUAUCAGUGUAUCGUCAACUCAUUCUCUUCUUACGUCAUGUUGAGACUUCUGUGUAUGCUGGUCCUCCUCGUGCUGUACCUGAGUGCCGCCAGCGCCCUCUAUAUCCGGUAUCGCAUACCAACAACCUACUACCGAGUAAACUACGGGUACCGAUAUCAUGACAUGGACGAUGACGUCAACUACAUCAUAACUGGAUGAAGUCAAUUACCCAAACAUCGCUAUGGAAACCACCUCGACUGUCUCUUCAUAUCUGGCUACUCCUGCUCAUCAUCUAAACCUUGGUCACUGCUUUGGCUGUGUCAAUACCUGAUACAAACGGAGUGUUGAUCAAAUUCUAGCUCAUCAUCAUGUUAUUUCAUUUUGUUUUAUUUAUGAACAUUAAAGUCAUUUUUGAAUGAACA